AGGGAGCUUCCCGUAUGGCCUUCGUUCUGGCGCUGUAUUGGCCACCUCACGGCCCUGUGUCAGGAAGAUGCGUGUAGCGUGCCGGACGGGUCCGCUUGAGGGUCACACUGCGGCGGCGCAGCGAGUCGGACGGGUCGGAUUGAGGGACAUACCACGCCGCUGCGCUCUGCACCGAGCAAGGAGGGAGGGAAAGUUCGGACCAGAGACAAAGGGGGGGAGCCGAGUCGGGAACAUCCGGGUCAUUCUCCGCCGCCUCAAUCCGGGACACGCGCGGGUGCUGCGGCCGCUCACGAGGGAUUUUGAACAUGUCUGGGAUCGCCCUCAGCAGACUUGCACAGGAGAGGAAAGCAUGGAGAAAAGACCAUCCAUUUGGAUUUGUAGCAGUACCUACAAAAAAUCCAGAUGGCACGAUGAAUCUCAUGAAUUGGGAAUGUGCUAUUCCAGGAAAGAAAGGGACACCAUGGGAAGGAGGCUUAUUUAAACUACGGAUGCUUUUCAAGGAUGACUAUCCCUCCUCACCCCCAAAAUGUAAGUAAAGUGACAGAAUACCAGUUUCUAGUAGAAUGGUGUUAAAUCUGAGUGCUUAUUGCUGUAUGAAAAACUAAUUACCUGCUUUCUGCUUAUGGUAGGGUGGAGGUUUUAUAACACUUCAUUAAUUAUCCUGGAUGUUUAAUGCCUAUUAUAGUUAAAACUGAAAUGGUUAUAAUUCUUAUUUUCAUGUGUGUUUACAUACCCAUCUUUAGAAUAAAAUUUUCCCUGGCUUGCCUCUUUAGAAAGUUUAAGAAAGCUGUUCAGCUACUUAAAUUCAGGGAGAUUGGAAAAAUCUGUGGGGUUUUUUUUGGUUUUGUUUGCGGUUUUUUGGUUUGAGGUUUUUUAGGGGGAAAGGGAUUGGGUUUUUUUAAUUAAUGAUCACUUUUUUUCUAAUAUGGUUCCAGUAAAUAUGGCUCAGUUUUGAAACUUGGCAUAAUUGUCACUGACAACUGUUGCAUCUGCUAAGUUUUGUAUUGAAAAUUGUGUAUUGUGCAUUCUUGAUAGAAAAGUACCUUAAGUUAAGAGGAUAGCGCAUAAGUGGAAGCAGUGUGAAUGUGUGUGCAGCGAGUGCAUACUUGUUUUGAAAGACCUUCAUAAGCUGAAUAGACAUGUAGCAACAGCUCUCUGGCUACCUAGCUUCAAAUUUUUCUUUUUGUUUUUUAAAAAUCUAGUUUUAAUUAAAUAUUAAAGAUGGGAGAUCAAAUUUUCAGAAGUUAGGAUUAUUCUAUCAAUUUUUAACUUAGCAAAGUUGUGUCUACCUCAUAUUUUUCCUGUUUCUUUCCCUUAAAUGUUCCCAUGUACUAUAAGAUACCCAGGAGGUGCAGUGUUGUUGUAGUAGUUGAUAUCAUAACAUUUGAUAUUAUAAUCAUAACAUUACAUUAACAUUAAUUUGGCUUUUUUGCAUGUGAUAUGUGUACAGGACACAUUGCAUUACAUAAAUAAUUCUUUCUUUGCAAUUUUUUAUCCUACUGCAAGCUGUAGAAACCAUUUGUAUUUAUGAUUAUCUUUGGUAUUCGUAAUACUAGUAUUCCGGCUGUAGAGUCAAUACAUUCUGCUUUAUGAUAGCUAUAUAGCUACUACUGAUCAUAAUGUUCCAGUAUCCAUUAGGGAAAUCUUUAGGAAAACUGUCUUUAAAAUUCAUGGAUAUUCUCUGUUUAUGGAGCUCUGUUGCCCUAGCUAAUCACCGGCUUUCUUGAACAAAUUAUUUUUCAAAUAUAUUAUUUAAAUUACCACAUACACCUUUUUAAAAACAAGGCUGUUACUUUUUGAUGUCUUUAGCAUCAUCUGAGGUAGGAAUGUGUUAUCUCACAUUGAUGUCAAGAUUUAAGUUUUUCCAAUUCGAACAUAAGAACGACCAUACUGGGUCAGACCAGUGGUCCAUCUAGCCCAACAUCCUGUCUUCCGACAGUGGCUGGUAUCAGGUACUUCAGGAGGAAUUAACAGAACAGAGCAAUUAUCAAGUGGUCCAAUCCCAGCUUCUAGCAGUCAGAGGUGUAGGGACAUCCAGAGCAUGAGAUUGCAUCCUGACCCUCUUGGCUAGUAGCCAUUGAUUGGCCUAUCCUCCAUGAACUCGUCCAGUUCUUUGUGGAAUCCAGUUAUGCGUUUGGCCUUCACAACAUCCCUUGGCAAUGAGUUCCACAGGUUGACUGGGUGGUUGCAUGAAGGAAGUACUUCCUUAUGUUUAUUUUAAACCUGGUGCCUGUUAAUUUCAUUGGAUGACCCCUGGUUUUUGUGUUAUGUGAAAAGGAAAAUAACUCUUCCAUAUUCACUUUUUCCACAGCAUUCAUGAAUUUUAGACAUCUAUCAUACCUCCCCCCCAUCGUCUUUUUCCUAAGAUGAACCAUCCUAGUCUCUCUCAUCUCUCCUCGUAUGGAAGUUGUUCCAUACCCCUAAUUGUUUUUUUUGUUGACAGUCUCUGUUCUUUGCAAUUCUAAUCCCUUUUUUGAGAUGGGUGAUCAGAAGUGUAUGCAGUAUUCCAAGUGUAGGCAUACCAUGGACUUAUAUAGAGGCAUUAUGAUAUUUUCUGUCUUAUCUAUCCCUUUCCUAAUGGUUACCAACAUUGUUAGCUUUUUUCACUGCUGCUGUACAGUGAACAGAUGUUUUCAGAGAAAUAUUCAUGAUGACUCCAAGAUCUUUUUUUGUGACUGGCAACAGCUAAUUUGGACCCCAUCAUUUUGUAUGUGUAGUUGGGAUAAUGGAUUGAAUGUGAUGCUUCCUGAGAGAGUACAAUAUGCCACCUAAAGGUUUCUGUCCUGUUUCUUCAGGACCUUGGAAAUUCAUCUGAUGUGUUUAGGCUCUUUCUUCAGUUGAUCUCCAAUUUAAUGCUGGUGACAUAAGAGAGCCUAUCUUUUUACUUGUAAAAGUAUACAGCAGGCAUUUGGAGAAAUAUCGGCUAGCUUGAAAAAUUCUGCCAAUAUUAAUGGAAUUCCUCAUUUUAAAGAUAGGGAAUAUUUCUGAAACUGUCUUGCUACAGAAUCAGUCAUCUGCCACUUUGCUUUUUAAGUCCUUACAAAGGCAACAGAUAUAUUAAAGAAACACAAUUUAAUUUUAGGGACAAAAUUGAUUGUACAACCUAAAUGGAAUAGAAAUGUCCUGAUUUAAAUGCAAUUUAAGCUUAAUUUAAAAUUCACUGUUGUAUUCUGAAUGCCGUUAUUGGUCUUGUACAUAAAGAUAAAGUGAAACA